ACUUCAACAACACCAGCGAGUCAGUCACUUCAGUAGCUUGCUUGGCGACAUGGCCUAAACAUUCAAGCUUUUUAGACUGUUUCAGUGCACAUUUGCCUAUGUGUUUUAAACAUGCUAAUGUUUUAUAGCUAGUUGCCCCAUUUAUUUUCAUAUUUACGCUGUUCGUCAGGCAGAUGUCUUAAAUGUACCUAGCGGUCGGCUAAUGCUAACUAGCUAGUUAACAUCCCCGAACAUGAGCUCCCUAAAUUUCUCCCCUCCUGUUAAAGAAGAGGGGGUCUGCUGGUCAGAGAAAGAAACUCUAUGACUGAACAUUGUCGUGAAAGAGGAGAAGGAUGUCACAGUAAAAAAACAAGUAGAUGGUGAGGCUGUUACAGACAAAGAAGAGAAGAAAGACGUUUCAGUGAAAGAAGAGGAAUACGCGUUCAGAGUGAAAGAAGAAGAGGAUGUUACUGUAAAAGAAGAGGAAAAGAAAGAAGAGGAUGUAGUUUUUGGAGUGAAGGAGGGAGAGAACUGUCACAUUGAAGGAAGAACAGGAGUAGGAGACAGACAUGUUUUGAUGUAAGAGGAUGCCAACCCCCAGUCCCAUCAUCGCCACCUCACCUGCUUUUAAGAUAACCUUUGGGCCGACUAGAGACAUUAUUAUGUAAUUGUGAUGAACUGAGAGAAUAUUUAUGUCGCACUGUGAUUCAUUAAUCAUGUGCUGCCUUCCUUGCUCCUAUGUGCUUACCUCUUUCCCUUUCUGUCUUUUACACCUCCCAUUUCUUCCUCUGUUUUUAAAAUGCACAAAAGAUGUGCAUUGAAGUCCAGAUUGAACUUGUAUUUAUAACAUUUGGAUAAUGAGCUUUUCAAUAAAGCGUUUCACAUUC